CGCACACAUGCGCAGUAAGGUCCGCUGUCCUGUCAGUUUCUUCCUCGCGGUUUUCUGUGGGAAAGAUGGCAGGCAAAAGCCUCCUUUCGCUUUUUGCAGUUCUCUUGUGGAGCCCGAAGGUGCUGUGUUAUGUGGAAGACCUGGACGACACAUUCAAGGAAAAGAGGAUGGAUGAAGUCUGGUUGGUGGAAUUCUACGCUCCCUGGUGUGGCUACUGUAAGAAGCUGGAACCAGUGUGGUAUGAAGUUGGGGCAGAGCUGAAAAGUUCAGGGUCACUGAUCAACGUGGGUAAAAUGGAUGCCACUGCAUUCUCCAGUGUUGCCUCUGAGUUUGGAGUCCGUGGCUACCCCACAAUUAAACUACUGAAGGGAGACCUGGCAUAUAACUACAAAGGUCCCAGGACCAAAGAGGACAUCAUUGAGUUUGCCAACAGAGUUGCUGGGCCGGUGGUGCGGGCGCUCCCCAGUAGGCAGAUGUUUGAAGGUGUCUUGAACCGGCACAGCGUGCUCUUCGUGUACAUCGGUGGAGAUUCACCCUUGAAGGAGAAGUACAUUGAGGUGGCAUCGGAGAUGAUCGUGUACACCUACUUCUUCUCUGCCUUGGAAGACGCCUUGCCCACAAAUGUUACUCUGCAGGAACUUCCCUCAGUCGCUGUGUUCAAGGACAGAACCUACUUUCUGUAUGACGCGUACCAGGAUGGUGAGCUGUCAUCCUGGGUGAACAGAGAGCGCUUCCGGGGCUACCUCCACAUCGACGGCUUCACCCUGUACGAGCUGGGAGAGACGGGCAAACUGGUCGCGAUCGCAGUUGUUGAUGAGAAGAACCUCACUGAGGAGAGUGUCAGGCUGAAGACUUUAAUUCAAAGGGUGGCAACUGAAUACAGAGACCACUUUAGCAGAGACUUCCAGUUUGGCCACAUGGAUGGAAACGACUACAUCAACAGCCUAAUAAUGGGCGAGGUGCCAGUGCCGUCCAUCAUUGUGCUCAACACAUCCAACGACCAAUACUUCCUGCUCGGCGAGCCGGUGAAGACACUUGACCAGCUGGUCCAGUUCAUCCACAGCGUGCUGGAUGGGAGUGCUCAGGCACAAGGAGGAGAUGGCAUCUUCCAGCGGAUCAAGAGAGUGGCCUUCGAUGCCAGAUCCACUGUAAUGUCUGUGUUCCGUAGCUCCCCUCUGCUGGGCUGCUUCCUGUUUGGCCUGCCUUUAGGCGUCAUCAGCCUCAUGUGCUAUGGCAUUUGCACUGCCGAGUCGGACGACGGCACCGAGGAGCUGGACCUGCUCAAGAGGGAGGCCCUUCCUGAAGAGGAUGAGUACGAGGACAGGAGAAGAGAGGGUGAGGAAGAAGAGGAGGAAGAGAGGCAGGAAGAGAAGAGUGCUGCAGACAAGAAGGUCGAUUAACACUGACAAUCUCCCACAUCAUCUCCAAGUGGAGGUGGAUUCCAUUGAGUGGUGCAGCACCUGGGUGCUGGAGCUUUGGAGCCGCUGUUCGAGAGUGAAGAUGGGCUGUUUGUGGCCGUUCCGAAAGCAUUCGAAGGGGAAUCCGCAGCGUUGAGAAGUGCUGUUGGGCGGCAGUUUCAGCUUGAGAUCAUCAAGAUCAUAUUCAGCAUGUCCUGAGAUGGCUGGAAAUGAGAGAGUUUACAAAAAAAAAAUCCACCUUGUCUUGUCUGGACUCCAGGGCUUGGUCACCUGAAGCUCCCAGAAGAGGUUGGCACCUUGCAGACGCUCAGCACUCAGGCCUCUGUCUGUGUUUGUGGUAGGUGCCACAUGUGGAUUCUGUCCAAGGUGACACUGGGUGGCAAGGACAGCACCGGUGCUGGACCUUCACCAUUCAUUAUUCACCCAUGCAUUGAAAUCCCAGUCCUGCGGGGGACUGAGAUGAAAGCGUUUCUCAUGGGAACCUCCAAACCCGGAUGACAUGAAUAGACACUUUGAAGGCGUCGGGUUCUGCCAGCCGGCACGCUCGACCACCAGGAGAGCCUGUGGAUUAAAGAAGCACCCAUAAUGCCUCGCUCUAUGAAUUUCCCGCUGGAGAGCUCCUUCAGAUCCCGUGUCUUUUGCUGCUGCCGGCAGCCAAAUGGCUCAGUCUGGUCCUGCGGCGGAUGGAGUGGAGUGAGGGGUAGCUGCAUUGUUUUGGCGAGACAGAGAAUCGCUCAGGCCAGAUGGAACCCUCUGUCUCGCCGCCAGUUGGCAGCCGUAGCUGUCGCGGUCCUGGAUGGAACGGGAUGGGACUGCCGUUUCCAUCAUGCGCCACACGGUCUGACGCUCGCCUUUACGCCGGGUGCCAGAGACGACGCUCAAGUGGGGAGACGAACAUUGCGCUCGAAUCGGACGCAAGCCCUAAUGCUUCAGCGUCUAUCGUUAUAGGUCCCUCGCGAGUAUAGCCAUCAGCGUGGAUCACAGUAAAAUGCAGCGUCCUCUGAAAACACAGACCACUCCAAGCUUGAAAUAGGAUGGAUUCAUCGAUGAGUUACUGUGAUUGCGAUCCGUGGGAUGCUGUGCAUGCAGCGGAAGUAACGCCCGUAUAAAGAACAGUAGCUGAAUCUGACAUUUUUGUACUUUUAUAUAUUACUUACGUAACAUAUUGUCUUGGCAGAGAACCAAGGAGCAUAGAUAACAGUGAAAUUAGGCAUUAAAAAAAAUCUUUUGGUCAAACGUAUGACUGCUCUGAUCGAACUGGACAGGCCGAUCACUGGCUUGCAGAGAUGUCCAUAUUGUAAUGAGUCACAUAAUAAAAUUGAGAAGCUUAAGAUAUUUGGAGUCCUUGAACAGAAUGAAUUAAUGAAGGAAAGUUUACAAUACAAGGUGCGAUAUUUGUUAUAUAUUUAUAU